rnacentral:tRNA from 1 species
GAAAUAAGUUAAUCAAAAUUAAGCUUCUAACUUAAAUUUUUAGCAGUGAAAUUCUGUUAUUAUUUCU